CUGCUAGCUGCAGCAGCACAUACACCGAAAUUAGAACCAUACAGAGAACUUUCCAUGGCAUCUACGUAAGAAUGACAUGAAUGUUCAUGAAGCAUUCCAUGCUUUU
ensembl:snRNA U6 U6 spliceosomal RNA